ncrna:unclassified sequences type-P1 twister ribozyme
UCUCUAAUGCAGCUCAUCAUGGUUUUUGAUGAACGGUUGCAAGCCCGUGGAAAUGCAGAGCAGAGA